AUUGAACGCUGGCGGCAGGCCUAACACAUGCAAGUCGAGCGGUAGAGAGAAGCUUGCUUCUCUUGAGAGCGGCGGACGGGUGAGUAAUGCCUAGGAAUCUGCCUAGUGGUGGGGGAUAACGUUCGGAAACGGACGCUAAUACCGCAUACGUCCUACGGGAGAAAGCGGGGGGAUCUUCGGACCUCGCGCCAUUAGAUGAGCCUAGGUCGGAUUAGCUAGUUGGUGAGGUAAUGGCUCACCAAGGCGACGAUCCGUAACUGGUCUGAGAGGAUGAUCAGUCACACUGGAACUGAGACACGGUCCAGACUCCUACGGGAGGCAGCAGUGGGGAAUAUUGGACAAUGGGCGAAAGCCUGAUCCAGCCAUGCCGCGUGUGUGAAGAAGGCCUUCGGGUUGUAAAGCACUUUCAGCGAGGAGGAAGGGAGUUGUGUUAAUAGCACAGCUUCUUGACGUUACUCGCAGAAGAAGCACCGGCUAACUCUGUG
rnacentral:rRNA from 1 species